CCACAGAUGCAGACGCAUGCCCAGAAACAUGCAAACGCUAGUAGGAAAUGUGACAGCCAACAAGAACAGACUUACAGAAGGGAGAUUCGGAGACCCAUGAGGAUACAUCCCUACCCUGAAACCCCUGUGUCUACAGAGAAGCAUCCUGGUACAGGCCAUGGGGAGACCACCUGACUGCCCUCAGUCUUGGACACGCACACCUGAGUAGUCAUGGCUCCGGCUGUCUGUCCUGCUCGAAAAUGUGCAAGUCUCAAGAACCUGAGCACACGGAGAGCUCCACCCAGAAACAUCUAAGCGCACAGGGCAGCUGUGGCCCUAGCAUCUGUGACUGGAAGGAACAGGAGCUACCCAGAGAUCCCACAGGAGGGGUUGUUACAGCAUUUACAGCAGAAGAUGCAGAUGGGGAAGUUGGUGUCUCGCUUCCUUCGCUUCUGCAUCAGGAGCUGUGAAAAGAGAGAGAGGUCACCACAGAGCACAGUGACUUACAGCACCAUCAGCUGGAUUGUGGCUUUCCCUCCUGUCUCUCAGUAAUUUGAGGACCGAGCAUCAUCUGCACAGCUCCACAAAGCUCAGCACAGCAGAACCUCUACAGCCCUCUCCUAAUUUCCAACACAGCUCCACUUCUCAGACCCUACUGUCUCCAAGGGUCUUGUGAUUGCCUCAAGUGCCAGUGUGUACCAUAUACAUGCCUAGUGCUGACUGCCAUCUAGGGCAGAAGGCAUCAGACACCCUGGAACUAGAGUUAAGGAUGGU